rnacentral:pre_miRNA from 1 species
AAUCUACUCCCUCCGUUCGGAAUUACUUGUCUCGGAAAUGGAUGUAUCUAGAACUAAAAUACGUCUAGAUACAUCCAUUUCUGCGACAAGUAAUUCCGAACGGAGGGAGUAGUUG